UACGUAGGGACCAAGCGUUGUUCGGAUUUACUGGGCGUAAAGGGCGCGUAGGCGGCAAUUCAAGUCAGCUGUGAAAUCUCCGGGCUUAACUCGGAACGGUCAGCUGAUACUGCUUUGCUAGAGUGCAGAAGGGGCAACUGGAAUUCUUGGUGUAGCGGUGAAAUGCGUAGAUAUCAAGAGGAACACCUGAGGCGAAGGCGGGUUGCUGGGCUGACACUGACGCUGAGGCGCGAAAGCUAGGGGAGCAAACAGG
rnacentral:rRNA from 1 species